UACGUAGGGUGCGAGCGUUGUCCGGAAUUAUUGGGCGUAAAGAGCUCGUAGGCGGUGUGUCACGUCGGCCGUGAAAACCUGCAGCUUAACUGUGGGCGUGCGGUCGAUACGGGCAUCACUGGAGUUCGGCAGGGGAGACUGGAAUUCCUGGUGUAGCGGUGAAAUGCGUAGAUAUCUGGAGGAACAUCGGUGGCGAAGGCGGCAUCCUGGACCGGUAUUGACGCUGAGGCGCGAAAGCCAGGGGAGCAAACGGG
rnacentral:rRNA from 1 species